rnacentral:rRNA from 1 species
CCUACGGGUGGCAGCAGUGAGGAAUAUUGGUCAAUGGACGAGAGUCUGAACCAGCCAAGUAGCGUGAAGGAUGACUGCCCUAUGGGUUGUAAACUUCUUUUAUAUGGGAAUAAAACGUUCCACGUGUGGGAUUUUGUAUGUACCAUAUGAAUAAGGAUCGGCUAACUCCGUGCCAGCAGCCGCGGUAAUACGGAGGAUCCGAGCGUUAUCUGGAUUUAUUGGGUUUAAAGGGAGCGUAGGUGGAUUGUUAAGUCAGUUGUGAAAGUUUGCGGCUCAACCGUAAAAUUGCAGUUGAAACUGGCAGUCUUGAGUACAGUAGAGGUGGGCGGAAUUCGUGGUGUAGCGGUGAAAUGCUUAGAUAUCACGAAGAACUCCGAUUGCGAAGGCAGUUCACUGGACUGCAACUGACACUGAGGCUCGAAAGUGUGGGUAUCAAACAGGAUUAGAUACCCUUGUAGUC